rnacentral:rRNA from 1 species
AGAAUGAACGUUGGCGGCGUGGAUUAGGCAUGCAAGUCGAGCGCGAAGGGUUUGGUAGCUUGCUAUUGAACUCGGAAAGCGGCGAAAGGGAGAGUAACGCGUAGUUACGUGCCCCAGGGUUCGGAAUAGCCACGGGAAACUGUGGGUAAUGCCGAAUAACAUCUCCGGAUCAAAGGUGUGAUUCCGCCCUGGGAGCGGACUGCGUCCUACUAGCUUGUUGGCGGGGUAAUGGCCCACCAAGGCAACGAUGGGUAGCGGGUGUGAGAGCAUGACCCGUCUCACUGGGACUGAGACACUGCCCAGACACCUACGGGUGGCUGCAGUCGAGAAUCUUCGGCAAUGGGCGAAAGCCUGACCGAGCGACGCCGCGUGCGGGAUGAAGCCCUCGGGUUGUAAACCGCUGUCGUAGAGGAGGAAGGCUCCGUGAAGAACGGAGUUGACCUAUUCUAGGAGGAAGGACGGCUAAGGUUCGUGCCAGCGAG